rnacentral:lncRNA from 10 species
UCCACCCCCACCAAUCUCCCAUUUAUGGUUCAAUCACCUCCCACCAGGCUGCACUUCCAACAUUCGGGAGCACAAUUCCCCAUGAGUUUUUGUAGGUAAACACAGCCAAACCAUUUUAUUCUGACCCUGAGACCCCCUAAUCUCAUGUCCUUCUCACAGAGCAAAAUACAAACGUGCCUUUUGAAAAGUUUCCAAAAGUCUUAACUCAUUCCAGCAGUAACUCAAAUGUAAUAAGUUCAAGCUUCAUCCAGGACAAUGCUGCAGUCCCUUCUGCCUAUGAGUCCCUGAAGGGAAAUGGGCGUUCUUUUCUUUCAAGUUACUUUCAAGUUACAGUGAUGGGUAAGCUUUCUCAAUCCAAAGGGAAGAUUUUCCCAGAAAAAUAACACAAUUGGGACACAGGCCCAAUGCAAGCCCAGAAGCCAGCAGGAGAGUAUUCAUUUAUCAUGAGAACUCACUAUCACACAGACAGGAUUAAGGAGAUAGU